rnacentral:tRNA from 1 species
AUAAGUUUAGUUAAAAUAUAACAUUAAAUUGUCAUUUUAAAAUUAUUAUAAAUAAUAACUUUUA